GUGGGGAAUCUUGCGCAAUGGGCGAAAGCCUGACGCAGCCAUGCCGCGUGAAUGAUGAAGGUCUUAGGAUUGUAAAAUUCUUUCACCGGGGACGAUAAUGACGGUACCCGGAGAAGAAGCUCCGGCUAACUUCGUGCCAGCAGCCGCGGUAAUACGAAGGGGGCUAGCGUUGCUCGGAAUUACUGGGCGUAAAGGGCGCGUAGGCGGACAUUUAAGUCAGGGGUGAAAUCCCGGGGCUCAACCUCGGAACUGCCUUUGAUACUGGGUGUCUUGAGUAUGAGAGAGGUGUGUGGAACUCCGAGUGUAGAGGUGAAAUUCGUAGAUAUUCGGAAGAACACCAGUGGCGAAGGCGACACACUGGCUCAUUACUGACGCUGAGGCGCGAAAGCGUGGGGAGCAAACAGGAUUAGAAACCCUGUAGUCC
rnacentral:rRNA from 1 species